UCUCGAUGAUGAACAAAUAAUAUGAUGAUGAGUCCGAUUUCAUUGCAUUCCUUUAGAAAUUGUGACGACAAAUUGAGGCGUUUGUCUUGAGAGAA